rnacentral:rRNA from 1 species
UACGUAGGGCGCAAGCGUUGUCCGGAAUUAUUGGGCGUAAAGAGCUCGUAGGCGGUUUGUCGCGUCUGCUGUGAAAACUCGAGGCUCAACCUCGGGCUUGCAGUGGGUACGGGCAGACUAGAGUGCGGUAGGGGUGACUGGAAUUCCUGGUGUAGCGGUGAAAUGCGCAGAUAUCAGGAGGAACACCGGUGGCGAAGGCGACAUCCUGGACCAACACUGACGCUGAGGAGCGAAAGCCAGGGGAGCAAACGGG